UGAGUGCAGAAAGAGCAGAACGUGGAAUCUUGCCAGAGCGUGUUUUUGGUAGCUGUGUCACAAACAUCCCCUUCUGGAAAGCUGCUACUGGACCUAUGUUGGUCCGAACUCGCUCAACAAUCUCUUCCAAAAUCUUACUCUCUUGUGUCUUUAUACCUGGUGAAGAAGGGGCAAGAAGGGACACCACAGAUUUACAGACCAAAGAAGAAGGUAGGAUCAACAUGCAAGAUGAGGUUCCCAUAAUGGCCACCAUUCACUAAUUGGCCAGACACCCAGCACACCUUUUCCUAUACUCUCUGAAUAAGCAAUUGAUAUGUCAUCAGGGAAAUCUGUAACUGGCAAUCAAUCACAGUGACUCCAAAAAGCUUGGAGAUGGAUGUUGCCUGGAUCUACACAAGAAAAAUGGAAUUACUGCAAUAUGAAAGUUGUCAAAUUGGUCCUAAAGAUACUCCUGUUUGCUGUACCCAAACAUACACUGUCAUCAUGAUGCAAUUGCACACUAAAAAUAAUUUGUGUGACCAAUUCACUCACUUACUUUCACGGAGCCAAAUCUUCCAUUUUGAGCACUUGUAUAGGGCCAAUCGACCUAUUUCUACAAGGAAAGAAGUAAGCCAAUCCUUGGAUAGUUCAUCUGACAAGGAAACAUAACUAAUGCAGCAACGAGCCUCCAGUGUAUUCAGAUGUACAAUGGACAAGUGUGUAUUUUGGAGUGAUACAAAGUUAGCAUGAUUGUAUGCCAACAGGAGGA